rnacentral:rRNA from 1 species
UGGCGGACGGGUGAGUAAUGUCCGGGAAACUGCCUGAUGGAGGGGGAUAACUACUGGAAACGGUAGCUAAUACCGCAUAACGUCGCAAGACCAAAGAGGGGGACCCUCGGGCCUCUUGCCAUCGGAUGUGCCCAGAUGGGAUUAGCUUGUUGGUGGGGUAACGGCUCACCAAGGCGACGAUCCCUAGCUGGUCUGAGAGGAUGACCAGCCACACUGGAACUGAGACACGGUCCAGACUCCUACGGGAGGCAGCAUG